UACGUAGGGUGCAAGCGUUAUCCGGAAUUACUGGGCGUAAAGAGUGCGUAGGCGGGUUUUUAAGUCAAGUGUUAAAUCUACAGGCUCAACUUGUAGGCCGCACUUGAUACUGGAAGCCUUGAGAACAGAAGAGGCAGACGGAAUUUCCGGUGGAGCGGUUAAAUGCGUAGAUAUCGGAAGGAACACCAAUGGCGAAGGCAGUCUGCUGGGCUGUUUCUGACGCUGAGGCACGAAAGCGUGGGGAGCGAUCGGG
rnacentral:rRNA from 1 species